rnacentral:rRNA from 1 species
AUACGUAGGGAGCGAGCGUUGUCCGGAAUUACUGGGCGUAAAGGGCGCGUAGGCGGCGCUUCAAGUCGUCUGUCAAAUGGAAGGGCUUAACCCUUUUUCGCAGACGAAACUGGAGAGCUUGAGAAGCAGAGAGGCAAACAGAAUUCCUGGUGUAGCGGUGAAAUGCGUAGAUAUCAGGAAGAAUACCAGUGGCGAAGGCGGUUUGCUGGCUGCAUACUGACGCUGAAGCGCGAAAGCCAGGGGAGCGAACGGGAUUAGAUACCCCGGUAGUCCUGGCAGUAAACGAUGUAUGCUGGGUGUGAGACUAGCGAUAGUUUCGUGCCGAAGUUAACGCGAUAAGCAUACCGCCUGGGGAGUACGGUCGCAAGAUUGAAACUCAAAGGAAUUGACGGGG